GACGAAGGGGGCUAGCGUUGUUCGGUGUCACUGGGCUUAAAGAGUAUGUAGGCGGAUAAGUAAGCGUUUUGUGAAAUCCCUCAGCUCAACUGAGGAAUUGCUUGGCGAACUGCUUAUCUUGAGGCAAGUAGGGGUGCAUGGAACUCUUGGUGGAGCGGUGGAAUGCGUAGAUAUCAAGAGGAACGCCGGUGGUGAAGACGGUGCACUGGGCUUGUCCUGACGCUCAGAUACGAAAGCGUGGGGAGCAAACAGG
rnacentral:rRNA from 1 species